UACGAGUGGCGUUGGCUUCUGACAUCAGAAUUCAACAACCCUCGUAAACAGGUAUUUAAAUAAAUUAAUUAGUUAAUUUAUCAUUAAGUACGUGCGUUUUUAAAAUAUUUUACUAAUAGUUUACUUUUUUCUUUGAAGGCGGUUUCCCGGGUGAACGCUCAGAACCGGCAACGCAACACAAGGAACCAUCAUGCCGGUUCUAGACCGUUCGCUGUCUUCGUGGACGAGGCGGCCAGGGAACAUCCAGAGGUUAACCAGUACGUCUAUACGUACGAGAGGGCAUAUCCUGACUCUCAGGAGGAUAUAGUAAGUACUAUUUCCUUUUUACGGAAUUUUUAAUUUUACUUAUAUAUAUGUCAAAAUGUUAAUUAAUAAUUUUUUUCCUAUCCAAUUAGGCAAAGGUGAGGGAGGCUAGUGACGAGGUGAUGAGUGCUAUAGUGAGGGAGACAUGGCCGGACACGCAGGAGGAAGAGAUGUCCGAAGCCAUUUCCCGGAUCGACACUUUAGAUCCGAGGGUUGGGGCGAGGAUCAUGGACACAGCCUUCCCACCGCGAGAAAACAACUUCUACUGCCGGGGUCUAGGAAAGAAGGGUUAGGGGGUCUUGAAGACCACUAUAGGAUUUCAACGAAAGGCGGGCUCGACCAACAGCAGGACGGCUCAGCUAGAGUCGGAAGUUGAGAGACUACGGGAACAGCAAGCCGCUCAGGCUGCCGCUCAUGCUGCUCAGGCUGCCGCUCAGGCUGCUCAGGCUGCCGCUCAUGCCGCCCAGAUCGCCGAAUAUAGAGCCUUUACUAGAGCCCUACAUGCCGCUCAGCAGGCCCAGCAGCAGCAGAUGUUCCAGUACUUCCAGGAUUUUACAGCUGCCCAGCAACAAGGACUUCCACCUCCGCCCAUGCCUGCGCCUAUAGAGUUACCUCUGCCGCAGCAAUCUCCUCACCAGCAGACCCGAGAUUCGGAUAUUGAUUUAGACCAUCUAGAUUUUGUGUAGUUGAUACCUUAUAUAGUUUUAUGUGCUUCUUGUUGGUUAUAUAUAUGGAAUUGU
rnacentral:lncRNA from 1 species